AUUGAACGCUAGCGGGAUGCUUUACACAUGCAAGUCGAACGAGUGGCGGACGGGUGAGUAAUAUAUCGGAACGUGCCCAGGCGAGGGGGAUGACUGCUCGAAAGAGUGGCUAAAACCGCAUACUAUUGGAGCGGCCGAUAUAGGAUGAGCUAGUUGUUGGGGUAAAGGCUCACCAAGGCAACGAUCCGUAGCUGGUUUGCGAGGCAGACCAGGCACACUGGGACUGAGACACGGCCCAGACUCCUACGGGAGGCAGCAGUGGGGAAUUUUGGACAAUGGGGGAAACUCUGAUCGAGCCAUCCCGCGUGUGUGAGAAGGCCUUCGGGUUGUAAAGUACUGUUGGCAGAGAAGCGGUAUCUACACAAUAAGCAACGGCUAACUACGUGCCAGCAGCCGCGGUAAUAC
rnacentral:rRNA from 1 species